AACGAACGCUGGCGGCAGGCCUAACACAUGCAAGUCGAGCGAACCCUUCGGGGUUAGCGGCGGACGGGUUAGUAACGCGUGGGAAUAUACCCUUUGGUACGGAAUAGCCUCGGGAAACUGAGAGUAAUACCGUAUGUGCCCUUCGGGGGAAAGAUUUAUCGCCAAAGGAUUAGCCCGCGUUGGAUUAGAUAGUUGGUGGGGUAAUGGCCUACCAAGUCUACGAUCCAUAGCUGGUUUGAGAGGAUGAUCAGCAACACUGGGACUGAGACACGGCCCAGACUCCUACGGGAGGCAGCAGUGGGGAAUCUUAGACAAUGGGCGCAAGCCUGAUCUAGCCAUGCCGCGUGGACGAUGAAGGCCUUAGGGUUGUAAAGUCCUUUCAGAUGGGAAGAAAGCGGAUGGGUUAAUACCCUGUCCGGAUGACGGUACCACCAGAAGAAGCACCGGCUAACUACGUG
rnacentral:rRNA from 1 species